GGGGAGAUACAUAAAGAAAUGAAAUGGGGAGGAAGUGCAGGAGGGGUGGUGGUUUGGGUAGAAGUGAUAGGUUAAAUCUCAGUCCCAGAACUGGCUGUGCUUUGAGCUUGUUUGCAGGUGGGUUUUCAGGAGGAUCUAGUUUCUAAUUCUGAAAUUCAAUCUGCAGGGUCUAAUUCAAAUCUCUCUUUUCCUGCUUCCUGCGGUACUUCAGAUGCAGUAACUCCAGAUACUGUACAAAGGGAUGGCAAGUCCUUCCAAAGGGCAGCCCCUGCUCCUCCCCAGGCUCAGCUAGGCUCCAUCCUGUGCAGGCUUGGAACAGAACACCUAAGGUCUCCUGGGAUCGUUUCAGAGUUCUGGAGAUUGAAUUUAGACGUGUCCUUAGAAACCUUGUGAAAUCAGGACUGAAGAGAAUAAGAGCAUUGAGCCUGAUUUACUCUCUAGUUUUCAUGAAUAUCACACUCUGGGCAUGUAUUAUCCCACUUUCUAUGCUCAGGAGCAAGAACUCUCCUUGUAGUGGCCGACCGUGUCCUUGAGUGAUGUAUGAGGAUCUCACCAGUGAAGGACCAGC